CCUACGGGCGGCAGCAGUGGGGAAUAUUGCACAAUGGGGGAAACCCUGAUGCGGCGACGCCGCGUGAGUGAAGAAGGAAUUAGUUAUGUAAAGCUCUAUCAGCAGGGAAGAAAAUGACGGUACGUGAGUAAGAAGCACCGGCUAACUACGUCACAGCAGCCGCGGUAAGACGUAGGGGGCAAGCGUUAGCCAGAUUUACUGAGUGUAAAGGGGACGUAUACGGCAGUGCAAGUCUGGAGGUAAAGGGGGUGGCGCAACCCCCGGACUGCUCUUGAAACUGUAAGUCUGGAGUGCAGGAGAGGUGAGUGGAAUUCCUAGUGUAGCGGUGAAAUGCGUAGAUAUUAGGAGGAACACCAGUGGCGAAGGCGGCUUACUGGACUGUAACUGACGUUGAGGCUCGAAAGCGUGGGGAGCAAACAGGAUUAGAUACCCGAGUAGUC
rnacentral:rRNA from 1 species